rnacentral:sRNA from 14 species
UUUAAAAAAUAAUUGCUAACAAAAAUAACUGACGGAAAAGUAUGUACAAGCUUAAAAACAAAUGUUACUUCGCAUCAUACUAAGGUGCCGUCGUCAUC